CAUAGAGUGCCUGAAAAAGGACCAUUUUGAUAGAGUGGAUCACACAGCCCCCCCCUGUCUCUAUGA
rnacentral:tRNA from 1 species